AAAAAAAAAAAAAUGUACACCUUGUGUGCACGCCAACCAGAUCGGUGAGCAGCAAAAUAAGAUUCCAAAUUGCGAAAGCAUAAAACAUAUUCUGCCCCAGCAUAUUACACACAACCGCAUUUCGGAAGGGCAAAGUCGACACCACUUCCUUGGCCUGGAAGGGUUUUAAAAAGCCACAGCAACUAGCAGGAGCGCCAGGACAACGACCAGGACAGGGACAAGGACAAGAAGAGGAAGUGGAAGUGGAAGGAGCUGCCGAGGCGACGUAGCAAACGCUUUUGGCCGCACAACGAAAUUUGAUUUGUAUUUCUGUGGUUUACCUUUGCCCCCGCCACGUCUCGCCGCACUCCCCCCGAUUUACCAUUUUCCAUUUUCAUUUCUCGACUGAAUGGGAGGUAAUCGUGAAACGGGAAUGGGUAUCACUGGCUGGGCAUAGUGGUGUCAGUAGUGUCAGUGGCACCUGGACGCGGCUGCUGCUGUCGUAGAUGCUGAGGUUAAAAUGUAAAAUGCACAGAAUGGAUUGUGCGGCUAACCGGAACAAUUAAGGAAUUUUCCCCGGACCCGGACCCGAACCCAGUACCAAACCAGAACUGUCCUCACGGAGCUGCAGUUACCAAAUUACGAAUGCCACAUGGAACUGUCUGCCCCAUUUGUCCAGGCCCCAUUCCAUGGAGCAUCCGAGGCUGCUCCUCGAAAAUGAUUAAGUAGAUUGCAAUGACUAAAUUCUGGGCAAGAAGACGACAGGCUGAUGACACGACAACAGGACAGCGAAGACGUUCGAGGCGAUGGUAUGGAAAGUAUAUAAGUACACAGAGAAACCAGCAGGUAUAGGGAUAUAUUUAAAAAUAGCAAAUCGCAAUAGGAUCAGUGAAAUGUGCCAAAAUAAGCUAAUGGAUAUAAAACUUAAAAAUGUAUAUAUAUCUAUAUAUAUUAUAUAUACUUAUUCUCCGA